rnacentral:lncRNA from 1 species
GUAUUUUUAUUUUAAGGGAUUUAUUUUUUUAAGAAUUAGAGUUUAUCUUUUUAAGCCCCUUCUUGGAAUAAAUUUACACUUUUAACCCUUUGUGUAUAAAAGAAUUUCCAUUUUAGUCCUUAAACUAUUUUUCUUGACACUUUAGUAUCAAAACUUAUUGGAAAGACAUUUUUAGCACAAAUUUACUUGAUAAACAGCUUAAGUCCUUCAAAAAUGAAAUGUUCUCGGUUGAAACCUCCAUUUUCGCAACUUUUACAAUUUUGGCCCAAAACGGAAAAUUUUGCAUCUUUGGUCCCUUUUUAAUUCGAAAAGCAUUUUUGACCCUUGAAAUAGAUUUAGUAUACUAGUAAUCCCCUGUUUUACAGAAUUGUGUAGUUUCAGCCCCUAUAAUUCAAAAAUCUCGCAAUUUGGGGCUUUAUUGGGCCGAAAAGCCCAUUUUGGCCCCUUUAUGUUUAAAAUUCACAUUAUUAACCCUUCAAAAGUGUUGAUAUUCAGAAAAUACAUAUUAGAAACUGUUUAGACUCAUCUCAACCUUCAUAAUUUAUAUUUUGUCGUUUUGGGCCCCUUAGUUUUGUAUUUUUUUUGGCAUUUUGAGCCCAAAAAUGGGUUUUAAGUCCAAAAAUGUUCAUAUUAACCAACUAGAUUAUUUUUCUAGACUUGAUUAGUGUGAAAUGGUAUAAGUUAUACUUAUUUCAUUCUUCAUAUUGUAGAUCUCGGUUUUUAGGUUCUUUUUGGCUAGUAUAAACAUCACAAUCACAUAAGAUCAUACAUAUAAGCAUAAAAAUCACACAAGGCAUACAUUUACUCAUAGAUCUACACAUUUGUUUGUAUUCUCCCCCACAAAACUUAUAAAAACCGAAAAAGAAGGGGUAUGAAGCUCACCUUUGGGUGUGGUUUCGGUUUUUGGAAGAAAAUGAGAAGAAAUUCGGCCUUAGCAACCUUCCUUGGAAGAUUUCGAACUUGAAUGCUUCUUAGGUGCUAGAUCAUGAGUUUGAAUGAAUUAAGAGGUGAUUUUUGGAUGAAAUGAAGUAGCUAGUUUAAGGAUCUAAGAGAUUUCUUACCUUAGAUGAUGAUUUUUGUGUAAAAAUCCCCUUGAACACUUCUUAGAUCUCGAAAUAUGGAUGAGAUAUGAGAGAGUUUUCUUGAGAGAAAGGAGAGUGAAGUGUGUGUGUGUGUGUGCUUGAAGUCGGCCGAGAGCAAGAGAGAGAGGGAGAAAAAGAGUUAGCUAGUCAUGGAAGUAUGUGAGUGCAUGGAUGUUUGGGUCUUCUUGCAUGGAAGUCCCUUGAACAAUGGUGAGGUGGCACUCACAAAGUCAACUCUCCUCUUCUUUUGGGCUUGGGCCGAGANNNNNNNNNNNNNNNNNNNNNNNNNNNNNNNNNNNNNNNNNNNNNNNNNNNNNNNNNNNNNNNNNNNNNNNNNNNNNNNNNNNNNNNNNNNNNNNNNNNNNNNNNNNNNNNNNNNNNNNNNNNNNNNNNNNNNNNNNNNNNNNNNNNNNNNNNNNNNNNNNNNNNNNNNNNNNNNNNNNNNNNNNNNNNNNNNNNNNNNNNNNNNNNNNNNNNNUUGCUCCUGGAACGAGGUCAAUUCGGAACUCAACUUGUCUCUCUGGGUGUACUCUAGGAAGAUCUUCAGGAAAUAUGUCUGGGAAUUCACGUGCUAAUGGAAUGUCUUGAAUGUUAACCUCUUCCUUGGUUUUAUCCACUAUGUGAGCCAGGAACGUCAAAUCGUUCUUUCGUAGAUGCUUCUGUGCCUGGAUGCACGAGAUGAGGCGAAGGUUCGUGCUAGGUUUGUCUCCGUAAAUAACUAGGGUUUCGUGAUUGGGAAGGUGAAGGCGAACGGCCUUCACGUGACACAUAAUUUCAGCAUGGUGGGGGCUUAACCAGUCCAUGCCAAUAAUCACAUCGAAACUCCUAAUGGAAACAGGCAUUAAGUCUAUUAGAAAGAUGUGUUGAUUUAGGGUUAGGGUACCUCCGAUGUAGAUUUCCCCAGUGGAUUCGGUUUUCCCAUUGGCCAUUUCCACCGUAAAGGUUUCACUGAGCUUCUGGGGUNAGAUUUGGUUACAUCUACCACGAGAGUCAUGGGUCUAAAACCAUAAUAGAAUCGUUUAGUGAUGGAAACCCAACUUGAAAUUAGUGCUCCUAAUUUUCAAGUUUAACGGGUAUCAACGAAAUCACUAACGAUAGAAGGUACUAUCAUUCAUGAUAGAUCCAUGUGAGGUAGGAUAGUACGUCGUUGCCGAGAACGAGGUUGAGUUACGACUCUUAACAUAGUUUUGGAGACAUCUAAGCAACGAAGAUGUUGNUCGUCGGUGUUGAUGUUGUUGUUGUUGCGGUUGUUUUUGUUGCUGUUUCCCUGUUGUUGAUUCUGAGGAGGGUAAGNCUAGAGGUGGUGUCGCCUCAAGUGAAGAUUAGUGGUUUAUCUUCUAAAGAGUCAUGAAAAGGAUUUAUAACGCAUGGCCAUAAUAGCGCUCAGGGAGAACACAAAUAUGACUUGUGAUGUGUGGGGGUAACCCGGAGAGGUCAUUGAGGUUCAUGGUUUAAACCAAUAAGGAUACCAUUGAAUCGGUCUCUUCUUGUUUGUUCUCAAUAAACUAGGGUUUAAUCUUCGUGACACCCGGGUGACAUCAUCUGUCUGAGUGAAAGGAAACUUACCAACUUGGUGGGGGAUUGUUGGAACUUUAUAUAUAAAGGAAUUGAAGUUGGCAAUUUCCUUUGUAUCCCACAUUGGUGGGGGGAAGAAACUUUUGUGAGUUUAUAAGCCUAUUCCCUUGGUAAGCCUUCAAAGGAUUUAGUGGAUCAAAGGAAUGGGCCAAGCCCACACGCGCGCCUAGCCUAGCCUAGCAGUAGUCGACGCUGCGAGUGCGCUAAAUGGUGCGAUUUAGGCGCACUUUGCACUUCGCACGACGCUUCGGUCGCUGGGAGCUGAGGAGCUUUUAUUUUUGACGAGCUCGGGUCAAGCCGGUUUGACCGAUCUGGUCAAAUGGUUGACCGGUGUUGACUUCACGUUGACUUCGUGGAGGACAAGUCAGGGUAUUCUAGAAGGAGCAGGAAAUGGCUUGCUUGGAGAGCAAGUUGUCUCCCUAGGGUUUCUGGGGCCGGCUUAUGGGGGCCCGUUUGAUGCCUUCUAGGGUUAUAAUACCUAUAAAUACAGCUCCCUAGGAGCCGCAUUAACCUCUCACGAAAUCUGAAAGCUCUCCCCUCUCUCUCUCUUUGCGUUUUUUUUGGUUUCCAAGUAGUCGCUUUGUGUUUGUCGAUUUCCAGUGUUGUUGGAAUAUCGAUCAAGUUGCAUUAAAUCAUGGGGUUUUACUCUGUUGCUUACAGCCAGUAGAAGCGAAGUAAAAACCUUUAAGGACAGGAGUCUGAUCAGUGUAGUUGCUUCAAGAUCAAGAUCAGCAAUCAACAGAUCGGUUUUACUUUUCUGUCUUAUGGUUAAUUCAUCCGAUAACAGGACAGUCUUCUUCUACCUUUCUUAUAAUCAGAUCUAAUCGAGAAGGAUAGAUCUGAUUUCUGGACGAAACUUGGUAAAUAUAAUAAUAAUAAUUGAAUCUAUUAUUCGCAACUAAUCGACAUAUUAUUCUCAAUAUCAUUUGGUCUUCGCGUUCCCACGUGAAUUCUGGCCCACGUUUCGCGUUCCACCGUACUUUCACGCUCGGGAUGCGGCUUUACUUGGUACGCUUCACCUCCAUGUCCAUGAUUUCAACCGGUUCUUCAACGAACAGGAGAUUCUCGUUGAUUUCAAUCUCGUCAAGGGGAAUGACGAGUGUUUCAUCUGAUAGGCACUUCUUUAGAUUGGAGACAUGGAACACGGGGUGUACAUUGUUUAGCUCCGCGGGUAGCUGCAGUUUGUACGCCACUGGACCUAUUCGGGCAACGAUCUCGAAAGGUCCAAUGUAUCGUGGGUUCAGUUUUCACCGUUUUCCGAAAUAAAUGACUCCUUUCUAAGGCGAAACUUUUAAAAGCACUCGAUCCCCGACCUGAAACUCUAAGGGCUUUUUCCGUUUAUCAGCGUAGCUCUACUGUCGGUCGCGCAAUGCUUGUAAUCGAGCUCUGAUUUGAACUAUCUUUUUUGUGGUUUCACGAAUGAUCUACGGUCCCGUUAGCGCCUUGUCCGAUGCUAGUGUCUUUGCUAGCUGGGUGUCACCCACCUCAGCCCAACACAACGGUGAUCUACACUUACGUCCAUAUAGUGCUUCGAAAGGAGCGACUUUGAUGCUCGAAUAGUAACUGUUGUUAUAAGAGAAUUCAACUAAGGGUAAGUGGAUGUCCCAAGACUUCCCAAAGUCUAUCACACAUGCGCGAAGCAUGUCUUCGAGCGUCUGAAUGGUUCGUUCGCUUUGACCGUCCGUUUGUGGGUGAUAAGCGGUGCUCAUGUCGAGAUGGGUUCCGAGUGCUUUCUGAAGUGAUUGCCAAAAACGUGAAGUGAAUCUACUGUCUCUAUCUGAGAUGAUAGACACUGGUAUUCCAUGAAGUCUCACGAUUUCUCGAAUGUAUAAACGCGUCAGUCUCUCCAUCUUGUAGGAUUCUUUUAUUGGCAGGAAAUGGGCGGAUUUCGUCAGUCGGUCAACUAUUACCCAUAUAGUGUCUAAUCCGUCCGACGUCUUGGGUAGCUUGGUCACAAAAUCCAUAGAAAUCCCUUCCCACUUCCACUCGGGAAUCACCGGUUGCUGUAAUAAUCUCGAGGGCUUCUGGUACUCCACAUUUACCUUGGCACAAGUAAGGCACUUACUGACAUAGGUGGCAAUUUCUGCCUUCAUGUUAGGCCACCAAUAGUGUUGUUUAAUAUCCAAAUACAUCUUGUCCGAACCGGGAUAGAUGGAGUAUCGCGUCUUGUGGGCUUCCUUCAUGACUACCUCCCUAAAUCCUCCGAGUUUAGGGACCCAAAUACGGUUCAUGAAAUGGUAUACUCCGUCCUCUCUCACCUCUAGGUUCUUUUCCAUUCCGCGUAAUGCUUCGCUUGCUCUGUUUUCCGUCUUCAUGGCAUCUGACUGGGCUACCCCGAUCUGAGUGGUUAGGUGAGAUUGGAUGGUUAUUGAGAGAGUUUUUGCACGACGAUUAGAGUACUCCUUCCGGCUCAAGGCAUCAGCUACCACGUUGGCCUUGCCCGGGUGGUACUUGAUUUCACACUCGUAAUCGUUUAAUAAUUCAACCCAUCUUCGUUGCCUCAUAUUCAGCUCUUUCUGAUUCAAGAUAUGCUGGAGACUUUUGUGGUCCGUGAAGAUGGUGCACUUCGUACCAUAAAGGUAAUGCCUCCAAAUCUUCAGAGCAAAGACCACCGCUCCCAAUUCCAGAUCAUGGGUUGUAUAAUUCACUUCGUGUGUCUUUAGUUGGCGGGAUGCGUAAGCUAUCACUCUUCCACGCUGCAUGAGAACGCAACCUAAACCCUGAUUUGACGCGUCACAGUAGACCACGAAAUCUUCCGUUCCCUCUGGUAGAGAUAGUACCGGGGCACUGCAGAGCAUUUGCUUCAGGGUUCGGAAUGCAACUUCUUGUUUGUCCGUCCAUUUGAAUGGUACGCCCUUUUGUGUAAGCGAGGUAAGUGGCUUGGCGAUCUUAGAGAAGUUUUGAAUGAACCUCCUAUAGUAGCCUGCUAGGCCUAAGAAUUGGCGAAUUUCUGUGGGUGUUGUCGGGACUGCCCAUCCUUCGACGGCUUUGACCUUAGAAGGAUCCACAUGAAUUCCUUCUUGACUAACAACAUGACCUAGGAAGUUCACGCUACGGAGCCAGAACUCACACUUGGAGAGUUUUGCGUAUAGCUUUUCCGUUCGCAGGGUUUCUAGGAUUUGUCGGAGAUGUUGGCCAUGCUCUUCCUCGCUUCGGGAAUAGACGAGAAUGUCGUCAAUGAAGACGAUGACAAAGUUGUCGAGGAAUGGUCGACAGAUUCGGUUCAUCAGGUCCAUAAAUGCGGCAGGGGCAUUUGUUAGACCGAAGGGCAUUACGACAAAUUCAUAAUGUCCGUAACGAGUUCGGAAAGCGGUUUUAGGAAUAUCCUCUUCCCGGACUUUGAGUUGAUGGUAUCCGGACCGUAGAUCUAUCUUAGAGAAGUAACUAGCUCCUUGGAGCUGGUCAAAUAGAUCGUCGAUUCGUGGGAGUGGAUAGCGAUUUUUGACAGUGAGUUUAUUUAACUCCCUGUAAUCGAUGCACAUUCUAAAAGAUCCGUCCUUCUUUUUGACAAAGAGGACUGGAGCUCCCCAUGGCGAGUNAAAUUUACACUUUUAACCCUUUGUGUAUAAAAGAAUUUCCAUUUUAGUCCUUAAACUAUUUUUCUUGACACUUUAGUAUCAAAACUUAUUGGAAAGACAUUUUUAGCACAAAUUUACUUGAUAAACAGCUUAAGUCCUUCAAAAAUGAAAUUUUCUCGGUUGAAACCUCCAUUUUCGCAACUUUUACAAUUUUGGCCCAAAAUGGAAAUUUUUUGCAUCUUUGGUCCCUUUUUAAUUUGAAAAGCAUUUUUGACCCUUGAAAUAGAUUUAGUAUACUAGUAAUCCCCUGUUUUACAGAAUUGUGCAGUUUCAGCCCCUAUAAUUCAAAAAUCUCGCAAUUUGGGGCUUUAUUGGGCCGAAAAGCCCAUUUUGGCCCUUUAUGUUUAAAAUUCACAUUAUUAACCCUUCAAAAGUGUUGAUAUUCAGAAAAUACAUAUUAGAAACUGUUUAGACUCAUCUCAACCUUCAGAAUUUAUAUUUUGUCGUUUUGGGCCCCUUAGUUUUGUAUUUUUGGCAUUUUGAGCCCAAAAAUGGGUUUUAAGUCCAAAAAUGUUCAUAUUAACCAACUAGAUUAUUUUUCUAGACUUGAUUAGUGUGAAAUGGUAUAAGUUAUACUUAUUUCAUUCUUCAUAUUGUAGAUCUCGGUUUUUAGGUUCUUUUUGGCUAGUAUAAACAUCACAAUCACAUAAGAUCAUACAUAUAAGCAUAAAAAUCACACAAGGCAUACAU